rnacentral:lncRNA from 1 species
GAAUAUAGACCUAAAUAAAUUAAAAAAUCAUGAGACAACCAUAAACUAAGGAAAAUGUUACAUAAAAAUAAAAUAUUAAAGUAAUACCAUACUUGCUAUAACCCUCCCAAAAAAACGGCCUUUUCUGAAAUCCUUCAUCAUCCUUGCAAGUUUCACACGGAAAACCCUGCAGCUAAUAUCAGGUCUGUAAGGUGCAUAAUUUCCAGUCUUUGCAAGAUGACGAUGUAUUUCCUCCCAUUUCGGAUUGCAAGUAACAGUAAGAAAUAAAUCAGGAUAACCGUAACUUUUGCAAAUAG